rnacentral:lncRNA from 1 species
AUCCUGGACCAGCCCUUCACACCUCACAGGGGAAUCCUCAAUUGCUUAGUGAGUACCUGAGGCUCUUUAAAGUCCCUCCUCGGAAGCUCUCAGAGGCUCAGAAUGUUGAGCCUUCAGCUUCAGGGUGACUGGGGUCAGCGCCAGCCUGGAAUGCCAACCCAUGAUAUCAGUACAAGGAUGGUAUCAGUGAGGGACAGGUUCUGUGUACAAAUGCCUGAGGAAGGGAAACAACUCCAACUCCCCAUGGCAAGGAGAUGAAGCUGCCAUUCUCAGGACUCUCCAUCGUUCCUCUGUACCUUAUCAGGACGACCUCUGCCCUUGAACUCUGUGAACUGCAGAACGGCUUUCAGUAAGUGUUUCUUCAGAGAAGUCAAGCUGAACUGGAGCUAUGGGAAGCUUG